ensembl:lncRNA
GUCUUGUCCAUCCAAGGUGGCUGCGAGCAUUAGGCAGUUAAGCGCUGCAGAUCUCUCCAGGAAAGUUACUCAGUUUAGUAUUGCCCUUUAGAGAGUGUGGAGGUGUGGCUGCUUGUUGAGGGGCUAGGCACGUGAGGUGGAAUCCCUCCCGAUGCAUGCGAGUGUACACACCGGGCAUAGGUAGAUUGCACCGUUUAGUGUGAGUGAGGUCUGCAGUGAAAUCACAUGGGUUCAAACCUUUUGCCAGGGUUGCACAGCUAGCUCCGCAUCCGCCUGUUUGUCCAUCCAGUCUGUCUGCGUUUCUGUCCAUGCAAGAUCAAAGACAUUCCCUCCAAAUGAAAUCCAGGAAAGUGAAGCUUCUGUAGGCCACAACCCGUUCUCCUCAACUCAGAAAGAUGGUCCUCGUGUUGUAGUGGUCAAAGUCCGCCAGCGCCAAUACAAAGCAUCUUUCAGUUUUGCUUUUCCAGCUGGCUGCUGAUUAAACCAAAAUACCACCAGUUCUUGAUGUCCACUGGGAUUUUCCAGCUGUAUGAAGUAUUCCCAUUGGUGAUCCAACAGAAAAUUAUUUUAUCAACCAGAAAACUUUGAACAGGCAGUGUGAGAAAAAAGUAGAAGAUGGGGCCAACCCCUGAGGCCUUCAGGCUGGGAGGACUGAACGGCCUCGUAGCCA